ACACCUCAACUCUCAUGGUUUGCCAUGAUGAGCUUGGACUUUGGGGGUCUUGCUGGCCUAUGGGUCGGCUCCUCUCAAAUGGAUCAGCUUGCCAGUGUUUGGUGGCAUCACAGGUGUGAUAACUAUCUACGCUUGUGAUUUUCCAUCAGGUAACCUUCAGUGAUGGAGGUUCGCUGGGGCUCAUAAAUGUCUCUCCUCAGUGAGGACAGCUUUUUGAAC
rnacentral:misc_RNA from 1 species